rnacentral:rRNA from 1 species
CUUUGACCUCGGAUCAGGUAGGGAUACCCGC